AAAUUUUUUUUAUUUUCCCACUGUACAGCAAGGGGGUCAGGUUAUCCUUACAUGUAUACAUUACAAUUACAUUUUUCCCCCCACCCUUUGCUUCUCUCACACAGUGAUGAAAAUAAAAGUAAAAAAAUUUGCAGGGUAACAAUGGAGGAAAUACUCAUGAUGGUGACCUCUGGCCACUGGCCAGUCUCCAGGACCAACACCAUUGCUAGUACAAGCUGCAUAAAUCAGCAACAAACUUAAGCGUGUGAUUGGAGACUUUUUCCUAUUGCAAAGUGGCCUCUAAGACACAUUCGCCAGCCCUGUUGCUAUUCUGUGAACUAACAGUGUCUUUUUAAUAAAUUUCAAUUGUUCUUCAAUCAAUCAGAGUAGAUCUCUUUUGCUUGUAAUGAAGAACUCAAGCUAACACAGUCAGUAUGAGAUUAUUUUGCAUUAUACGCCAUUUUCCAGUUUAGUAUUUCCUUGCUCUAGUCUCUUCAGCACAACAAGCUCAGUGAAAAAGAUAAAAUAACUAGGAAAGUGACCAAUAAAAAUUGCCAGAGUUCCCUGGCGGCCUAAUGGUUAAGGGUCCAGUGUUGUCACUGCUGUGGUUCGGCUCAGGACUUCUGCAUACAGUGGGAGUGGUCAAAAAAAAAUCUGCCAUUCCCACUCUUGCUCUCUAUUCUAGUCAUUUUGUGCAGAAACUUGGCUUCACUUUAUUUCUGAACCACUAAAUAGUUUCCUUAUCCUGUUCCCUUGCAUACCCUUAUUCCGCCAAAUCCCUGUCUGCUUUGUGUUCCCCACAGGUCCCAACUUGGAGGCUUGAAGGAGACCCACUCGUCCUCAUGGAUGCUUUUGGUUUCCCCCUCCCCCCAGUGGAUAUGCAGGCUUCUGAUAAGUGUCAUCAUCACACGCUUAUCCACAUUCAUUCACACACCCACAUCACAGUGUGAGUUCCCCGGCAAUACGAUUGGUAAAUCUGGGACCGGCUAGUGAAAAUAUUUUUAAGUGACAGAUUGAUGGCAGUGUUGCAAGUAGAUUCAGAAAUUCUCUCUCAGACAGAUUACUCAUGAAAUGAUAUUUUUAAAGCCCUUCAGAACAACUUUAUUUCAAUCCAAACCUUAUAAAGAACAGGCAUAGAGAAUACGGCGGCGUGGAAUGCGAGGAUUUUCACAGAGAGCCUUUUAUGAUCAGUUUAAUGGAUACAACGAAUACACUCAAAAAUGAGGUGGUUUUGGGGAUAAAUCGAAUCACUUUAGGUCAUGAUUUAAAGCCACUGUCAGCAAGCUUGAGUUAAUCAAUUUUACUGUUCAGAAUAUUGCUUAACACAAUCCAUUUUCCACUGAACAGACAGUAUAUGAUAAGUACUAAAAGGGGCGAGAAGUAGGAUGCAAGACAGCCCAGGAAAGGGCAUGACGUCUUCCCAGAAGUGUAAAUAAAGACAGGGAAGAAGGUACAGAAGCUAAGGGGGGUGGGGAGAGUUUUCUCAUGCACAGGGAAAAACAGUGAAAGACAGGAGAGAAAACGGUGCUGUGGGUAAGUCAGUAGAGCUGAAGAGUAGAGCGGCUACAUGGGGAAGGAUGCAGGUGACAAGAUACUGAAAGAGAAAAGAAGGAAAAGACCUCACAGGGCAUCAUGUGAUCAGUUGUCAUGUGACUCCUGGGUGAGAGUUAGCGUUUAGGUGGUCACUGGGGUCAGGGUUUAUGUAUCGUUAGGACUGGAGCAAGGAGACCUUGGGGAAUUUUAAGCAUUAGACUCAGAAGGCUAGAUCUGUGCUGUAGGGAAAUCAUUCCAGCUCCAAUGUGAACAAAGAAGGGAUCAAGAAUGCUGUUGGGGGCACAUUUAAGAGGCUAUGACAGUAAUGCAAGUGAGAGGCGAUGGUGGCUCAAACUAAGUUAGGAUCUCAACUGGAAAUCAGGAAACAUAUUUGAGAGAUUGUAGCGAAGUAAAAUAAAUGGGACUGGCUGGCUGACUGGCCGUGGAGGAGGAGGAGGAAGAGAAAAGAUGACGCCAGGGUUUCUGGACAUCGGAGUGGAUGCCACCACAGUGACCACUGUGAAAGAGCACAUAACAAAGAGGGAAGAGGAAAGGGAGGCAGGGCUGAGUUGGAGGUCAUUCUGCCUGUCUUUUCUAAUAGAAGGACCAGAAGACAGAGGCCUGUCUCACCUGUCUAUGGAUGUAUGGCAAGUUGUAACAUGGAGAUUAGUGCUCAGUAAAUAGUUAUUGGAAGAAUAAGAAGUCCAGCAUGUAGAUCUGAAAUUUAGGAGAAUGCGAAACUUUUCCACUGUUGCUUAACAAACUACCAGAAGUUGGCAGCUCAAAACAAUACCCACCACAGUUCUGUAGGACAGAAGACCAGGAGGGCUUGCCAUGAGUCCUGAGAAUCCUAAGACAGGGAAUUUUUUUUUUUUAACAUGGGAAGAGUUUUCAAAUGUGCUGGAUGACUGAGAAAGAAUGAAUAAUCAUCACUACAAUUAUAAAAAUAUGUAAGGCACCUACUCUGGUACCUGGCCUAAAUCCUGAUCAAUAAAGAAAUGGGUGCUUAAAUGAAAAAGUGCACAAUGAGCUUCUGACGUGGUUCCUUCUUAGGGCUAAAAACCCUCCACGGAGCUGAGGGCCCUCCCCAAACCCCGGGUUCCGUAACUGAAGCCCUACUAACUAUGCUCUUUGCCAGCCCCUGUUUCCCAGAGGAUGGACCCUCUCCUAGAUUCCUAUUCCAGUUAGGGACCUGUUAUGACAGAGACUGCAGAACUGCAAUGUGCCUCCUGCCUGACUGCUGGCAUCUCUGCUGCCUAAAGACUGACCUCGUGGAUGGCCAAAGCUCAUCUGAUUGCCUCUCUCAAGGGCCAGAUCUGCAGCUGAUCCUCCUGUGGAGUCAGAUCCCAUAGGCUUUGAUCACAAGUCUCUACUUGCUUAUUCUACUGAAGUCCCGGUAUAUCUUGAGGCCCAGCCCAUUGUCAUGCUGCAGCAAUAAGGUGCCUUCAAAUUUAGUGUCUAGGAGUUUAGAGCAAGUAAUUACAGUAACACCAGGUGAAAUCCGAGUGACAUCAGAGUCACACGUUUGCUGACUAGGUAGCUUGGAUUCAAUAGCUACAGCUACAGCAGUGCUGGGGAAUCUGUAUUUUUUAAAGUGCUGUUGAUGAGCUCUCUGAUGCGCAC
rnacentral:lncRNA from 1 species